rnacentral:tRNA from 1 species
UGCGGGGUGGACCAGUGGCAGGUCGCCAGGCUCAUAACCUGGAAGGCGAGGGUUCAAUUCCUUCCCCCGCAACCA